rnacentral:rRNA from 1 species
CGUGUAGGCGGUCUGUUAAGUCUGAUGUGAAAGCCCCGGGCUCAACCCGGGAAGUGCAUUGGAUACUGGCAGACUUGAGUACGGGAGAGGGAAGUGGAAUUCCGAGUGUAGGAGUGAAAUCCGUAGAUAUUCGGAGGAACACCGGUGGCGAAGGCGGCUUCCUGGACCGAUACUGACGCUGAGACGCGAAAGCGUGGGGAGCAAACA